GUCGGCAAGUGAGAACUUUGAUUUAGACCAUGAUUAUCCGGGUUUCUUAAGAGAGUUUUUAAAGUUAAUGAAGCAUUUAAUUAAAUCAAAAUGAAAUAAAAUAUCUGUUACCGAUCCUUAAUAUAGGAUUGUGGAGACCGAUUAUUAAGAGGGUUUUUAACACACGUGUCAGCUUAUCAUUAAAAGUGCAUUUAUUUUUUUCUUUCUCUUUUUUUUUUCUUUUUGUCGUCUCUCUCUUCUCUUGUGGUCUCUGCCGGACGAUGAUGGCAAUAGCUCGGCCAAUACCAGCAGCAGGUCUUCGAUUCGAUCCAACCUCCAGGUGGGUUUAGUUUGAGGAAGAGGAAUCAAUUGAGAGGUUUUGGAAAAGGAAUCAAGUGUUCACUGAAAGUUCAGCAGCAACAGCCUCCUCCACCAUCAAAGUCUUCUCUCUUCGAUUUUUGGAAUGUCGUUGUGGGAUCACAAAACUCAUAACAUGGAUGCAUUGGUGGGCCUAAUCGUAUCACUGUUUGCGUUUGAAAGAAAACCGCCUUCAUCGUAUUGACUCGUGGCUCUUCCUCUCGUGAUUAGUAGUAUCUCAUUGUACCAGAAAUAUCCAUACCUGGACAAGAAGAAGAAG